UCAAGCUACUAAGGGCAUACGGUGGAUGCCUAGGCACCAGGAGCCGAAGAAGGACGCGGUAAGCUGCGAAAAGCCACGGGGAACUGCAAGCGAGUAUUGAUCCGUGGAUAUCCGAAUGGGGAAACCCGGCCAUCGUAAUGGAUGGUCAUCCGCAAGGAAGGGAACCCGGGGAACUGAAACAUCUAAGUACCCGGAGGAAAAGAAAUCAAACGAGAUGCCCACAGUAGCGGCGAGCGAAGAGGGCAGAGCCCAAACCUGUAAGCUACGGCUUAUGGGGGUUGAGGACUGACGUAAUUAAGGCCAGGCUUAGCUGAACUACCUGGGAAGGUAGGCGAUAGAAGGUAAGAGCCCUGUAAGCGAAAGGCAGAGCCUUAAGGUCAGUAUCCAGAGUACCACGGAGCACGAGGAAUUCUGUGGGAAGCAGGGGGGACCACCCUCCAAGGCUAAAGACUAACUGGCGACCGAUAGCGCAUAGUACCGUGAGGGAAAGGUGAAAAGAACCCCGGGAGGGGAGUGAAAUAGUACCUGAAACCGUAUGUCUACAAGCAGUCGGAGCGAAAGCGACGGCGUGCCUAUUGAAGAAUGAACCAACGAGUUAUCUGCACUAGCGAGGUUAAGUGGAAGACACGGAGCCGUAGCGAAAGCGAGUCUGAAAAGGGCGGCGAGUUAGUGUAGGUAGACCCGAAACCGCAGUGAUCUACCCAUGUCCAGGUUGAAGCGCAGGUAAAAAUGCGUGGAGGACCGAACCGGUGAGCGUUGAAAAGCUUUCGGAUGAGAUGUGGGUAGGGGUGAAAUUCCAAUCGAACGCGGAGAUAGCUGGUUCUCCCCGAAAUAGCUUUAGGGCUAGCCUCAGGUAGUAAGUAUAGGCGGUAGAGCACUGAUCGGGCUAGGGGCCAUAAAGGUUACCGAACCCUGUCAAACUCCGAAUGGAUAUACUGCAGAGCCUGGGAGUCAGACUACGAGUGAUAAGAUCCGUGGUCAAAAGGGAAACAGCCCAGACCACCGGCUAAGGUCCCAAAUGCCGUACUAAGUGGAAAAGGAUGUGGGGAUUCAUAAACAACCAGGAUGUUGGCUCAGAAGCAGCCACCAUUUAAAGAGUGCGUAAUAGCUCACUGGUCGAGAGUCCCUGCGCCGAAAAUUUCCGGGGCUAAAGUACGGAACCGAAGCCGUGGCUGUGUACGUAAGUACACGGGGUAGGGGAGCGUUGCCACAGGGGUGAAGCUGGUCUGGAAGGACUGGUGGACUUGUGGGAAGUGAGAAUGUUGGUAUGAGUAGCGAAAAGAAAGGUGAGAAUCCUUUCCACCGAAAGCAUAAGGAUUCCUGAGCAACGAUCGUCGUCUCAGGGUAAGUCGGGACCUAAUCCGAGGCAAAGAGCGUAGGAGAUGGACAACAGGUUGAUAUUCCUGUACCGGCAGCAAUUGUUUGAGCGAAGGAGUGACACAGAAGGGCAGGCAGGCGCGAGACUGGAUUGUCGCGUGCAAGCGUGUAGGGUAGUGUACAGGCAAAUCCGUACACUGAGAGCCUGAGGCGUUACGCGGAGCGAGCAGAGAUGCGAGCGAAGCUGCUGAUCCCACACUGUCGAGAAAAGCUUCUAGUGAGAGAGCUGCCGCCCGUACCGUAAACCGACACAGGUAUGCGGGGAGAGAAUCCUAAGGUGCGCGGGAGAACCCUCGUUAAGGAACUCGGCAAAAUGUACCCGUAACUUCGGGAUAAGGGUAGCCGUCUUGGUGAAGGAGCAUGCCUCUGGAGCUGAAGGCGGUCGCAGAGAAGAGGCCCAAGCGACUGUUUACCACAAACACAGGUGCCUGCUAAAGCGAAAGCUGACGUAUAGGUGCUGACACCUGCCCAGUGCUGGAAGGUUAAGGAAGGAUGUCCGGGCAACCAAAGCAUUCGACCGAAGCCCCAGUGAACGGCGGCCGUAACUAUAACGGUCCUAAGGUAGCGAAAUUCCUUGUCGGGUAAGUUCCGACCCGCACGAAAGGUGUAACGAUUUGGGCACUGUCUCAACGAGGGACCCGGUGAAAUUGAAAUACCUGUGAAGAUGCAGGUUACCCGCGACUGGACAGAAAGACCCCAUGGAGCUUUACUGUAACCUGACAUUGGGUUUUGUUGUAUUACGUACAGGAUAGGUGGGAGGCUUAGAAGGCUGGACGCUAGUCUGGCUGGAGCCGGCGUUGGGAUACCACCCUUGAUACAACGGAAUUCUAACCGAGAGAGUAACGAAAUCCGGGACAGUGUCAGGCGGGCAGUUUGACUGGGGCGGUCGCCUCCGAAAGAGUAACGG
rnacentral:rRNA from 1 species